UGGAAUACUUCUCAGCCCAUAAAAAAGGACGAGCUCCUGUCAUUUGAGGCCAAAUGGAUAAACCUGGAAGAAAUAACACGAAGUGAAAUAAGCCAGGCUCUGAAAAACAAAUGUCAUAUAACAAAUCCGUCCUACUACGACCAUCCUGACUGGUCCUGCUUCAGUCAUAUGUCUCUCACUGGUCUGAUCCUGUGCUAGGACAGAGAGUUUACUGGCCUACAUGUUGUUUAGACAUUAGUGCUGGAUAGUGAUUAAGAGCGCAAACUACACACAGAGAAAUGCCUUUGGAUCUUCUGCCUGAAGCGACCUAUAUUACCUUGAUUUGGAGGAUUCAUGACCUCCCUCAACCCUGCUCUCCUGAUACAAUAAUCAUGCCCCGUGCUGCUCAGUAGCACCUGCUCAGCGAAGCAGAUCC